GCAGGGCCCCUGCAGGGCGGGCAGGCUGCACGCGGCCAGCGGCCCGCUCAUGCAGGCCAGCAUGCAGGCCUCGUAGGUCUCAAAAUGGUUGCGGUUGCGGUGGCAGUGGCCAAAGGUGAAGGUGACGCAGUUGUUGGCCUGCGCGUCGAAGUGCCAGCGGGUCUGCUCCUCGCCACAGUCCUCGCUGUCGGGGGGCUUCAGGCACUCGGCCGUGGGGAAGGCCGUGCCAUUGGGGCUGCUCUCCGAGGUGGCCGCGGCCUGACCCCCCCUGACCACUGACAGUGGGAAGUCGGCCCGCAGGACCCCGGCGGCAUUCCGGGCCGUGCAGGUGUAGAUGCCAGCGUCCUGGGGCUGGGCGUUAUAGAUGACCAGCUGGGCGAUGUUGGUGACCACCACGUUGCCGCGCACGUGGUUAGG
rnacentral:lncRNA from 1 species